CUUCCACUAUCUGCAAGCAGAGAAGUCUGAGGUCCCAGGGACUGGCAAAGCCACAGGAUGAAAGGAACCUGAGGCUUUCCUUCACUACCUGCAGGAAAAGCACCUGCCGCAACAAGGAGCCCUUGCACUGAAUGGUUGCAUAAGUAACUACCCACCUUCUAUUACAUGCCUGGCACGUGCUAACCAAGCUUUACCUCUGAGGAGCUCACAAACCAACAUUCCUCUGGAGGAGGCGGCAGGUUUUGAUGAAACACACCCACCAAGAAAAAUGCUGUGACAAGUUGUGAGGUUGGAAGUUUCAACAGAAGUAUCGAGGUCUAAUAGAUCCUGCCCUCUUAAGUUAAGUCCCCGGAACGUGAUGCCGAUGCAGAUUUUCAAGGGAAACGGAUCCGGGCUUUUAAAACUCUCUACUCACAAUGAGAAUAUAAAAAGAUGGGUCUGGGAGAAUAAAGGGAGAGAUUUUGGGGGAUGAUUCCUUGGGAAGAACUGUACCCAGCCCUUUCGCUAGCAGGUUGGGGGGGCGUGAAGAGAUCCCUCCUCCACCUCAUCCAAGUUGC